rnacentral:rRNA from 1 species
AUUGAACGCUGGCGGAAUGCUUUACACAUGCAAGUCGAACGGCAGCACGGGGGCAGCCCUGGUGGCGAGUGGCGAACGGGUGAGUAAUACAUCGGAACGUGCCCGGUCGUGGGGGAUAACGUAGCGAAAGAUACGCUAAUACCGCAUACGAACUGAGGAUGAAAGCGGGGGACCUUCGGGCCUCGCGCGAUCGGAGCGGCCGAUGUCAGAUUAGGUAGUUGGUGGGGUAAAGGCCUACCAAGCCGACGAUCUGUAGCUGGUCUGAGAGGACGACCAGCCACACUGGGACUGAGACACGGCCCAGACUCCUACGGGAGGCAGCAGUGGGGAAUUUUGGACAAUGGGCGCAAGCCUGAUCCAGCCAUUCCGCGUGCAGGACGAAGGCCUUCGGGUUGUAAACUGCUUUUGUACGGAACGAAAAGGCUCUGGCUAAUACCUGGGGCUCAUGACGGUACCGGAAGAAUAAGCACCGGCUAACUACGUG